rnacentral:piRNA from 1 species
AAAUUGGAUAUACUAGAAUUUCCUGGU